AGAAAUGUUUUAACCUAGCAUUUCAAAUAAAUAUAUUAAAGGCUUAUAAUAGUUCUUAAAACCUUCGAAAUUGGUAUCGUGUAAUUAAAAGUGGAUUUACAAAAUAAGUGCUAAAAAUUGAUUAAAAUAACUUUUAAAGCGCGAAAUUCUGGCGUCCCCAAGCAAACCGGGUAUGAUGGUGUGUGUGUCAUUUCAGUAAUCGGUCGAUUGUACCGGGUUUGGUACAAAUACGGGCGACCGAGCCGUAGCUGCUGUCAUUCGUGUGCUGGAAAUGGAAGAGUGAAGUGUACGUACGGUUGGUGCAGAGUGGCGUGUUCUGCAAAUGGUGGAUAGGCGUCUGCUGUAAGAAAAGUGAGAAUUUAGCAAGGAAACGCGGUGCUAUUUUCGGGCGGCUAGAUGUAGUUAAGGCGUGAAGAAAAGCCGGUACAGUGAAAUGUGCAAAACCACCUAGUCCUAGAAUGAAAGUACGACAGUUGAAUCUUUCGAGAAAACGUGUAACAUCUCGUCACCAAGAUGGCGUCGCUGAGGGCGUUUUCACGCCGCCGGAUGGAGGCGAGACACAUUUUCGUUCAGCACACGAAUCGAUCUGCGUUGGACUGCAAUAUCUUGAAUUGCAUUACAAUGCAUUAUUUCCGGCGCUGGUGCUGACCUUUGAGGUUAGGUAGGCUAGCCUGAGGAACUUUAUCUCGGCUUGCUAACCUAGCAGCCAACAAGCACCGGUUCUACAUUUUAUCGUUCUGCACGUGAGGUGGUUCCGUGUUAUGCGAUUUGACGACCCAUGGACAUCGCUGGGCCUACGGAUGGAGGAGUGUUCACAUUUUCCUGGGAUGUGCAGAGCCGGCACCACGGACAUCGCUAGUACGUCAUCGGUAUUGUUAUCGCAACAUAUUCGUCGGCGACAUGGUGUUCCGCGCAUGCCUGCUGCUGUUGUGCGUGUCGUCGUGUCAUACCGUGAGAUGCCUCAUGUGUGAGAGCGAGUGUAGAAUUAUCCAAGCAACCUCUAAUAUUUCUUUCAAAAUCAUACUAAAAUAUCAUUGAUAAAGACAUCCGUAGCGAAGCGAGCUACUUGUGUAGGCAACCACUAAAAUUUCUCAAUAUUUUCUAUACCCUAAAUUUUUGCAAACUGAUAGGUGUCAUCAAUUGUAGGGAUGCUAGAAUAUCGAGCAUAGCAAGAGCAUGGCGCUCUAGUUAUCGUUCUCGCAAAAGUCAUCAUGCCGAGAAGUAAUUCAAAUUACGUAAACAUUAGACAAACAAUAAGCAACCACCAACAUUUCUUUCAAAAUCAUACUAAAAUAUCAUUCAUCAAAAGUUCGCCGUAUGUGGCAGCUUUUUUCUGAUAUCGCUUUGUACAGUUUGCGUGCAUUCUGCUACAGAGAUUUGGUAUUACAAUACAAAACACGGAAAUUAAAAUGCAGUGCUUUCUCUUAAACUUUGUGGGACGUGAUAUUAUCACUACGGAAACAUUUCCUUGAUAGGUCUAAAUCUGUAAAAUAGUGGUACGCUCGUCCUUUUGGGUGGUAUUUCAGAGUACCGAGGAUACUCGACAGGAGAGUUCAAUCGAACCUUGUGGGAUGUGAUAUUAUCACUACAGAACAAUUCCUUGAUCAGUGAAUAAAACCGAUGUGCGUA